rnacentral:rRNA from 1 species
CCUACGGGAGGCAGCAGUGAGGAAUAUUGGUCAAUGGUCGGGAGACUGAACCAGCCAAGCCGCGUGAGGGAGGAAGGUCCAGAGUAUCGUAAACCUCUUUUGUCAGGGAACAAAGUCGGGGACGUGUCCCCGGCUGAGUUUACCUGACGAACAAGCAUCGGCUAACUCCGUGCCAGCACCGGCGGUAAAACGAUGGAUUCGGGGGUUAUCGGGAUUUAUGGGGGUUAACGGGUGGGCAGGGGGAGGGUUAGGUCAGCGGGAAAAGCCCGGGGCUCAACCCCGAACCGCCGUUGAAACUGGCAGACUGGAGUGGGAGAGAAGUAUGCGGAAUGCGCGGUGUAGCGGUGAAAUGCAUAGAUAUCGCGCAGAACUCCGAUGGCGAAGGCAGCAUGCCGGCUCCAAACUGACGCUGAGGCACGAAAGCGUGGGUAUCGAACAGGAUUAGAUACCCGAGUAGUC